rnacentral:rRNA from 1 species
AGGAUAAACGCUGGCGGCGUGCCUAACACAUGCAAGUCGAACGUCCUUGCGGUCUUCUUCUUCGGAGGAGGACCGCGAGGGAGUGGCGGACGGGUGAGUAACACAUGGGUACCUGCCUUUCAGUGAGGAAUACCGGCGAGAAAUCGCCGACAAGACCGCAUAGGCUUCCUUCGGUAGCCCGAGGGAAGCAAAGUUACUUCGCGAGAGGUGACGCUGGAAGAGGGGCCUGUGGCCGAUUAGCUAGUUGGGGGGUAACGGCCUCCCAAGGCGACGAUCGGUAGCUGGUCUGAGAGGACGAUCAGCCACACUGGGAUUGAGAACGGCCCAGACUCCUACGGGGGGCAGCAGUGAGGAAUUUCCGCAAUGGACGAAAGUCUGACGGAGCAACGCCGCGUGCAGGAGGAAGGUUUUCGGAUCGUAAACUGCUUUUCUCGGGGACGAGCAAGGACGGUACCCGAGGAACGAAGCCCCGGCUAACUACGUGCCAGCAGCCGU